rnacentral:rRNA from 1 species
GACGAACGCUGGCGCCGUGCUUAACACAUGCAAGUCGAACGCUGAAGCUCAGCUUUUGUUGGGUGGAUGAGUGGCGAACGGGUGAGUAACACGUGAGUAACCUGCCUCCUUCUUUGGGAUAACGCCCGGAAACGGGUGCUAAUACUGGAUAUUCACUGGUCUUCGCAUGGGGGUUGGUGGAAAGGGUUUUUCUGGUGGGGGAUGGGCUCGCGGCCUAUCAGCUUGUUGGUGGGGUGAUGGCCUACCAAGGCUUUGACGGGUAGCCGGCCUGAGAGGGGGACCGGUCACAUUGGGACUGAGAUACGGCCCAGACUCCGACGGGAGGCAGCAGUGGGGAAUAAUGCACAAUGGGCGCAAGCCUGAUGCAGCGACGCCGCGUGAGGGAUGGAGGCCUUCGGGUUGUGAACCUCUUUCGCUCAUGGUCAAGCCGCAACAAUGGUUGUGGUGAGGGUAGUGGGUAAAGAAGCGCCGGCUAACUACGUG